UACGGGGGGAGCAAGCGUUGUUCGGAUUUACUGGGCGUAAAGGGCGCGUAGGCGGCCACCGCACGUCGGUUGUGAAAUCCCCGGGCUUAACCUGGGAACUGCAGUCGAGACUGUCUAGCUAGAGUAUGGGAGAGGGAAGUGGAAUUUCAGGUGUAGCGGUGAAAUGCGUAGAUAUCUGAAGGAACAUCAGUGGCGAAAGCGACUUCCUGGACCAAUACUGACGCUCAUGUGCGAAAGCGUGGGGAGCAAACAGG
rnacentral:rRNA from 1 species